rnacentral:sRNA from 1 species
GGGGAUGACCUUUUCUUCUUCCUCCUCCCUGCAGGUGCAUUGCUGGUUUCCAUGGGGACCCACGGCUGCCAUAUGGGGGCCAGUGCCGGCCCUGUCCCUGUCCUGAAGGCCCUGGGAGCCAACGGCACUUUGCUACUUCUUGCCACCGGGAUGAAUAUUCCCAGCAGAUUGUGUGCCACUGCCGGGCAGGCUACACGGGUGAGUGGAUGGGGGCAGGCAUGGGAUCAGGGUGAGUUGACUGGGCUGAGCACUCACAGCUUCCUCUUGACCGUGGGCAGGGCUGCGAUGUGAAGCUUGUGCCCCUGGGCACUUUGGGGACCCAUCAAGGCCAGGUGGCCGGUGCCAACUGUGUGAGUGCAGUGGGAACAUUGACCCAAUGGAUCCUGAUGCCUGUGACCCCCACACGGGGCAAUGCCUGCGCUGUUUACACCACACAGAGGGUCCACACUGUGCCCACUGCAAGCCUGGCUUCCAUGGGCAGGCUGCCCGACAGAGCUGUCACCGCUGCACAUGCAAUCUGCUGGGCACAAAUCCCCAGCAGUGCCCAUCUCCUGACCAGUGCCACUGUGAUCCAAGCAGUGGGCAGUGCCCAUGCCUCCCCAAUGUCCAGGGCCCUAGCUGUGACCGCUGUGCCCCCAACUUCUGGAACCUCACCAGCGGCCAUGGUUGCCAG